UGUUUACACCUAUUGUUUCUCGGGGCUGCAGUUCCUCUGAGCUCCACAAGAUGGUGAUCUCACUUCUACCAAGACAGGAAGUCUCUAUGGAAUACAGACAGGAAGUUUCGGGUGAGAGGUCAGUCAGGAGGAAGAAGAGAGGAGACAUUGUUAGAAGAGGCAGCAGAGGAGGGAACCUUCAUAGAUGACGGCACAAAUGAAGAUGAAGGAGGACCAGGGUCACAUGACUGAGAAGAUACUAAACCUCACCCUGGAGAUCAUCUACCUGCUGACCGGAGAGAGAUUUCCUCUGGUGAAGUCA